UUCCGUUGAUCCUGCGGACUUUACUGCUAUCCGGGUUAAGACUAAGACAUGCAAGUUGUGCGUCUCGAGCUAUGGUGGGACGCAGCGACGCUCAGUACACGUGCCUAACCUACCCUUGGGACUGGGGCAACCCCGGGAAACUGGGGCUAAUUCCAGAUAGGUGAGGAGGCCUGGAAUGGUUCCGUCACUAAAAGGGCUCAGGUCCAUGCUUCUUGAUGUCGCCCAAAGGAUGGGGCCGCGGCCGAUCAGGUUGUUGGUGAGGUAAUGGCUCACCAAGCCUAUAACCGGUACGGGCCAUGAGAGUGGUAGCCCGGAGAUGGGCACUGAGACAAGGGCCCAAGCCCUACGGGGCGCAGCAGUUGCGAAACCUCCGCAAUGCGCGAAAGCGUGACGGGGUUACCCCGAGUGCCGUCCGUUGAGGAUGGCUUUUCUCCGGUGUAAUGAGGCGGAGGAAUAAGGGGAGGGCAAGACUGGUGUCAGCCGCCGCGGUAAUACCAGCUCCCCGAGUGGUAGGGACAAUUAUUGGGAUUAAAGCGUCCGUAGCCGGCCUGACAAGUUUUCCGUUAAAUCCAGCGAUCUAAUCGCUGGGCCGCGGGAGAUAUUGCCAGGCUAGGGGACGGGAGAGGCCGGCGGUAUUCUCGGGGGAGGGGGGAAAUCCUGUAAUCCCGGGAGGACCACCAGUGGCGAAGGCGGUAGGGUAUAACGCCCUAGACGGUGAGGGAGGAAAACUGGGGGAGCGAACCGGAUUAGAUACCCGGGUAGUCCCAAGUGUAAGCGAUAAAGCAUUAGGUGUUGGAGCGGAUACGUACUGUUUGGCUGCCGCAAGGAGAGGGUUAAGGCCGUCGCCUGGGAAGUGGAAUCGCAAGGCAAGGCUGAAAGGAAAGAACGGGGGAGCGGAGCAAGGCAAGGGGCGGGCGGUGCGGUUGG
rnacentral:rRNA from 1 species